UCGGAAUCGCUAGUAAUCGUGGAUCAGAAUGCCACGGUGAAUACGUUCCCGGGCCUUGUACACACCGCCCGUCACACCAUGGGAGUGGGUUGCAAAAGAAGUAGGUAGCUUAACCUUCGGGAGGGCGCUUACCACUUUGUGAUUCAUGACUGGGGUGAAGUCGUAACAAGGUAACCGUAGGGGAACCUGCGGUUGGAUCACCUCCUUA
rnacentral:rRNA from 2 species